CGAUAACUAUGAAGUAUCUUUUUCCUUAACCGUGCAUAAUGGUACUUCAAAAUUCGCGAUACCCGCAAUACGACGAUAUAUUGUGCGCGUCCAUAUUGGGCAUUCGACGAUCACGUGACUCACUCCUCUUUCGACUACCAAAACGAUUCGCGCCCACUACAAUUUUCAACAGAUGUGAUUUUAAUCAUCAACUCCGUAUGAAACAAUCUGUAUAUGUAAUAUCAAUUUAUUAUUUUUUUUUUCCUUUUUUUUAAUAACGAUCCAAAUAUACCUGUCGUUGCCAUUCG